rnacentral:rRNA from 1 species
AGAGUUUGAUCCUGGCUCAGGACGAACGCUGGCGGCGUGCUUAACACAUGCAAGUCGAACGGUGAAGUCCCUUCGGGGGCGGAUCAGUGGCGAACGGGUGAGUAACACGUGGGCAAUCUGCCCCUCACUGUGGGAUAACUCCGGGAAACCGGGGCUAAUACCGCAUAUGAAGCCUGGCGGCAUCGCCGGGUUUGGAAAGUUUUUCGGUGAGGGAUGAGCCCGCGGCCUAUCAGCUUGUUGGUGAGGUAAUGGCUCACCAAGGCGACGACGGGUAGCCGGCCUGAGAGGGCGACCGGCCACACUGGGACUGAGACACGGCCCAGACUCCUACGGGAGGCAGCAGUGGGGAAUAUUGGGCAAUGGGCGAAAGCCUGACCCAGCGACGCCGCGUGCGGGAUGAAGGCCUUCGGGUUGUAAACCGCUUUCAGCAGGGAAGAA